UACGAAGGGGGCUAGCGUUGCUCGGAAUCACUGGGCGUAAAGGGUGCGUAGGCGGGUCUUUAAGUCCGGGGUGAAAUCCUGGAGCUCAACUCCAGAACUGCCUUUGAUACUGAAGAUCUUGAGUUCGGGAGAGGUGAGUGGAACUGCGAGUGUAGAGGUGAAAUUCGUAGAUAUUCGCAAGAACACCAGUGGCGAAGGCGGCUCACUGGACCGAUACUGACGCUGAGGCGCGAAAGCGUGGGGAGCAAACAGG
rnacentral:rRNA from 1 species